UACGAAGGGGGCGAGCGUUGUUCGGAUUUACUGGGCGUAAAGGGCGCGUAGGCGGCCCUCCUUGUCGCGUGUGAAAGCCCCGGGCUCAACCUGGGAAUUGCGCGCGAAACGGGGGGGCUUGAGUUCGGGAGAGGAGCGUGGAAUUCCCAGUGUAGAGGUGAAAUUCGUAGAUAUUGGGAAGAACGCCGGUGGCGAAAGCGGCGUGCUGGACCUCUUCUGACGCUGAGGCGCGAAAGCCAGGGGAGCAAACGGG
rnacentral:rRNA from 1 species